ensembl:lincRNA
GCUGAAGUGGCGCAGACGACGAAGGAAUAACACGCGGUAGAAGAAAGUACGACAAGAACAAGACAUGCGUUUGCUAGUGGAUUGGCCCCUCUCCACUGAAGUGGUCACUCAAAGAGAAAUGCGCAGAAUUGAAAGACGGCGGGGUAACACACAGUGGAUGGGUUCGGCUUGAUUCCGUAUGUGGCAGCAACCCAAGGGAGAGGAAGUUCAGCAGUGGAGCACACCUUCCUACCUGCUGUUUGGAGCCGCGGGAAGAAGGGACACUCCAAAGUAGCAAGCCGGGUGGAAGAAAUCUGAACAGUAAGACUCCUGCUCUGGUUGUGUUGCUUUCAGGAGGAGUAACGACGCCCCUGCUCCCGCUGGCCUAGGGAGUAGGGUUCUUUUAGUUUUGUUGCUAAUCCAGCCAAGCCUACUUUUUCUGGCUGCUGCGGAGGUGACUUCACCUUCAGGAGUGUUCGGGGACCCUCCCAGGACCCCGAGUCCUUCCUACUUUACCCCGCAGGACUCUGCGCCGCCGCCACCGCCGCUGCAGUCAAGCGGGGCUGAACUGGAACUUUUGACGCAGGACGGACUUCUCAAGGUUGAUUUCUCUCGGAAAACCGAGCCUUGGUUUAAUGUUUAGAAUUGAAAACGUCGGUUUUCUCGUGUGCAAGGCGGGGAUAAUAAAUACCAGGUCACCGGGCUACUGCUUAUGAAUUGGCUUUUUCGAUGGCAAGCGAAUAGCACAACUGGUAAACUGAGGGAAGGGUUCCUCCCCUCCCGCGCCACAGCCAGGACCUUCACGAAUCAGCCCUCAGGGCCCGUUUUGUUUCAGAAGGUAUGCUGCCCACAGAGAGAGACAGCAACAAGGAGAAAGCCAAACACAGAGUCGUGGUCAUUCGGAAUUAAAGAUGUGGACAUCCUGAAAGGGUACGUUACUCCCUAAAAGUAGUUUCAGAGAGGAGGCCACACUUUUAAUUUCUUAAGAAAAAAGGAAGAAUUUUAAAGCGACUUUAAUGUGUAAGUCACGCCGGGCAGAGUCCCACGGACAAUUCCACCCACCUCAGGGAGCCGGACAGUGCCCAUCCAGGCUGUGGCUGAAAGCCCAGGUGCAGAACGUCUCUCUGGCUCCUGGUCUCUCUGUCCAAGGUCCGCCCCACCCCCACCAGCUCUGGAAGGAGAAACGACAUUUCCAUGUGCGGUGCGGUCAACAGCCGGAGCCUUGUAAACACCGGCGAUGCCAGCCUGCCUCGAGCUGCCCCCAAUCCCGUCUGUUUUCUGUAGCACGGAUGGCAUCAAGUGCGAGGACAGGCCCCUCAGCAUCUCCACCGUGGGAAAGUUCAUCUCCCCCUGGGUGUUCUGCUGCUGUGAACCUUUGAGAUAUUUUCUGAGAAGAACCUGCAUUUCUACAGAUGGCAUGGAAAAAAAAAAAUGAAGGCUGCAGAACACACCAUUAUUCCUGAGAGCCUCUCAGUUCAUUAGUUGAAGCAGCCAAGUCUUCACGAGCCACAACUGAUCAGCAAAUGGGAAAUGAGCGAGAGUAUAAAUUCCCAGCAAACCAAAUCAUUAACAUUUGCUGCCUGCAUCCUGGAAACACAGUAAAUCAAAUGUGUCAUCAUUUAUCAAGACAAAAUAUCAUUACUAAUUGGGAUUAAUUUGCUGCUGUGGGAUUGCUGACCUUUGCUGAAAGAAAAUAAAACUGCUCGUUAGCUGACUUCAUUUAAUUUUCCUUGAGGAAGGGAGAGGGAAAAAGGCAGUCUGGCUUGGGGAGGCAGGAGGAGGGUGAGGUGGGGCGUAUUCUUAUCUUCCAAACAACUGCACAUUCCGAAGUCAAGAAGUGAUGAGAAAACCUGCUGAUGUUCUCUUGCCAGUCCAGACUCCAGAAUGUUUGCCGUGCGUCCAGGGCUAGCAACGCCUCUUGUUGUCAUUGCCUCUGAUUUAGCUCUGUUGUAGAAAGGGAUAAUUGGAAAAAUCACCAGGUGAAAUUAUAUGUGGCUUCCUGUAUAAAUAGGAGAAGGCAAGAGCAACUGCCAGGGUGCACAGGGACCUGUCUGUGCGUACUAAUAUUAACAGAGAUUUGAAAGACAGAGCGCAUGCGUCUGGGCAUUCCCCAGCAACUCUGCACCUGGCUGAGGUCCACACGGAAACGCCGUGUCAGUAACUCUGAGGAUGAUCUUUUACGUUUAGUAGGUGCCCGUGCG